UGAGCUGCGCGAGGCGGAGGGUCACCUGCGUCAAGGAGCUGGUUUUGAGUGGCCAGGUACGGAGUCUCACUCUGUUGCCCAGGCUGGAGUGCAGUGGUGCAAUCUCAGCUCACUGCAACCUCUGCCUCCCAGAGACGGGGUUUCACCAUGUUGGCCAGGCUGGUCUCAAACUCAUGACCUCGUGAUCCACCUGCCUCGGCCUCCCAAAGUGCUGGGAUUACAGGCGUG
rnacentral:lncRNA from 10 species